CCACAAGCAGCGGAGCAUGUGGUUUAAUUCGAAGCAACGCGAAGAACCUUACCAGGGCUUUGACAUGCCGUUGACCGGUCUAGAGAUAGAUCUUUAUCCUUCGGGGUACAGCGGACACAGGUGGUGCAUGGUUGUCGUCAGCUCGUGUCGUGAGAUGUUGGGUUAAGUCCCGCAACGAGCGCAACCCUUGUCUUUAGUUGCCAUCAUUAAGUUGGGCACUCUAAAGAGACUGCCGAUGACAAAUCGGAGGAAGGUGGGGAUGACGUCAAAUCAUCAUGCCCUUUAUGUCCUGGGCUACACACGUGCUACAAUGGUCGGUACAACGAGAAGCAAGCCAGCGAUGGCAAGCAAAUCCUAAAAAGCCGGUCUCAGUUCGGAUUGCAGGCUGCAAUUCGCCUGCAUGAAGUCGGAAUCGCUAGUAAUCGCAGGUCAGCAUACUGCGGUGAAUACGUUCCCGGGCCUU
rnacentral:rRNA from 2 species